GACGAACGCUGGCGGCGUGCCUAAUACAUGCAAGUAGAACGCACAGUUUAUACCGUAGCUUGCUACACCAUAAACUGUGAGUUGCGAACGGGUGAGUAACGCGUAGGUAACCUGCCUGGUAGUGGGGGAUAACUAUUGGAAACGAUAGCUAAUACCGCAUAAUAUUGAUUAUUGCAUGAUAAUUGAUUGAAAGAUGCUAUUGCAUCACUACCAGAUGGACCUGCGUUGUAUUAGCUAGUAGGUGAGGUAACGGCUCACCUAGGCGACGAUACAUAGCCGACCUGAGAGGGUGAUCGGCCACACUGGGACUGAGACACGGCCCAGACUCCUACGGGAGGCAGCAGUAGGGAAUCUUCGGCAAUGGACGAAAGUCUGACCGAGCAACGCCGCGUGAGUGAAGAAGGUUUUCGGAUCGUAAAGCUCUGUUGUAAGAGAAGAACGGGUGUGAGAGUGGAAAGUUCACACUGUGACGGUAUCUUACCAGAAAGGGACGGCUAACUACGUG
rnacentral:rRNA from 1 species